rnacentral:rRNA from 1 species
GUGGGGAAUAUUGGGCAAUGGGCGAAAGCCUGACCCAGCAACGCCGCGUGAAGGAAGAAGGCUUUCGGGUUGUAAACUUCUUUUGUCAGGGACGAAAAAAAUGACGGUACCUGACGAAUAAGCCACGGCUAACUACGUGCCAGCAGCCGCGGUAAUACGUAGGUGGCAAGCGUUAUCCGGAUUUACUGGGUGUAAAGGGCGUGUAGGCGGGAAAGCAAGUCAGAUGUGAAAACUAUGGGCUCAACCCAUAGCCUGCAUUUGAAACUGUUUUUCUUGAGUACUGUAGAGGCAGAUGGAAUUCCUAGUGUAGCGGUGAAAUGCGUAGAUAUUAUGCGGAACACCAGUGGCGAAGGCGAUCUGCUGGACAGCAACUGACGCUGAGGAGCGAAAGCGUGGGGAGCAAACAGGAUUAGAUACCCGGGUAGUCC